rnacentral:rRNA from 1 species
UGGUUCCAGAAAGUAGCUCCACCGUAUAGACCGUACCCGAAACCGACACAGGUGGUCAGGUAGAGUAUACCAAGGCGCUUGAGAGAAGUGUCCUGAAGGAACUCGGCAAAUUGCCUCCGUACCUUCGGAAGAAGGAGGCCCUCACUAUGCGCAAGCACUUUGAGGGGGCACAGGCCAGGGGGUAGCGACUGUUUAGCAAAAACACAGGGCUCUGCUAAGUCGGCUUCAAGACGACGUAUAGGGCCUGACGCCUGCCCGGUGCCUGAAGGUUAAGUGGAGUGGUGCAAGCUGCGAAAUGAAGCCCAGGUAAACGGCGGCCGUAACUAUAACGGUCCUAAGGUAGCGAAAUUCCUUGUCGGGUAAGUUCCGACCUGCACGAAUGGCGUAACGACUUCCCCACUGUCUCCAGGACAUGCUCAGCGAAAUUGAAUUCUCCGUGAAGAUGCGGAGUACCCGCGGUUGGACGGAAAGACCCCGUGCACCUUUACUGCAGCUUCAGAGUGGCAUUAGGAAAGAACUGUGUAGCAUAGGUGGGAGGCUUUGAAGCAUCGGCGCCAGCUGAUGUGGAGCCAUAGGUGAAAUACCACCCUGUUGUUUUCUGAUGUCUAACCUCGAUCCAUGAAACUGGAUCAGGGACCCUCUGUGGCGGGUAGUUUGACUGGGGCGGUCGCCUCCUAAAGAGUAACGGAGGCGCGCGAAGGUUGGCUCAGGACGGUUGGAAACCGUCUGUUAGAGUGCAAUGGCAUAAGCCAGCCUGACUGCGAGACUGACAAGUCGAGCAGAGACGAAAGUCGGUCAUAGUGAUCCGGUGGUCCCUCGUGGAAGGGCCAUCGCUCAACGGAUAUAAGGUACGCCGGGGAUAACAGGCUGAUAACCCCCAAGAGCUCAUAUCGACGGGGUUGUUUGGCACCUCGAUGUCGGCUCAUCACAUCCUGGGGCUGGAGCAGGUCCCAAGGGUUUGGCUUUCGCCAAUUAAAGUGGUACGUGAGCUGGGUUCAGAACGUCGCGAGACAGUUUGGUCCCUAUCUGCCGUGGGCGUCGAAAUUUGAGAGGAGUUGACCCUAGUACGAGAGGACCGGGUUGAACAUACCUCUGGUGUACCUGUCGUUCUGCCAAGAGCGCAGCAGGGUAGCUAUGUAUGGACGGGAUAACCGCUGAAAGCAUCUAAGCGGGAAGCCUCCCUCGAGAUAAGAUUUCAUAGAGCCGUCGGAGACCACGACGUUGAUAGAUCGGAUGUAGAAGUGCGGUAACGCAUGGAGCUAACCGAUACUAAUUGCUCU